rnacentral:rRNA from 1 species
CCUACGGGAGGCAGCAGUAGGGAAUAUUGCUCAAUGGGGGAAACCCUGAAGCAGCAACGCCGCGUGGAGGAUGAAGGUUUUCGGAUUGUAAACUCCUUUUGUUAGAGAAGAUAAUGACGGUAUCUAACGAAUAAGCACCGGCUAACUCCGUGCCAGCAGCCGCGGUAAUACGGAGGGUGCAAGCGUUACUCGGAAUCACUGGGCGUAAGGAGCGCGUAGGCGGGAUAGCAAGUCAGAUGUGAAAUCCUAUGGCUUAACCAUAGAACUGCAUUUGAAACUGUUAUUCUAGAGUAUGGGAGAGGUAGGUGGAAUUCUUGGUGUAGGGGUAAAAUCCGUAGAGAUCAAGAGGAAUACUCAUUGCGAAGGCGACCUGCUAGAACAUAACUGACGCUGAUGCGCGAAAGCGUGGGGAGCAAACAGGAUUAGAUACCCCAGUAUC